rnacentral:rRNA from 1 species
AUGGCUCAGAUUGAACGCUGGCGGCAGGCCUAACACAUGCAAGUCGAGCGGAUGACGGGAGCUUGCUCCUUGAUUCAGCGGCGGACGGGUGAGUAAUGCCUAGGAA